GGGGUUCGUAACGGCUUUUGCUUGCUUGCUUGGUAUUCGUGCUAGGCGGGCGAGUGGUAGUUGUUCGUUCUUCGGGGAUGUUGACCGUAAAGGUGCAUGAGUGGUGUUUGGUUUGUUACGGGUGGUUGGAUGUCUGUUAGCGCAGCAACUUCCACGCGUUCAUACCUCUUCAGUUGUGCUACAAGGCUUUAUCGGUCUUGUGCAUCCCUGGGUCUCUGUGUUGCAUACCUAUUGAAGGGCAUCGUGUGGCUAGAUCAAAUUUCUUUUCGUUAUGCAUCGUUUGCGAUGUUGAACGAACCUCGAAGCGGUCUCUAUGGCCCAUUCUGUUGUUGCCCUUGCAAUGAUGGCAUGGCCCUUGGAGUGUCGCUUGGUCUCCUGGAUAUGGAACCUGAUGUGGGGUUGUUGGGUCUUUGCGGAUCCAACUUUUGCCCUCGUUUAGCGUUCUCGCUUCUCUAAACGACCGUCUAUCAUGUGUCGGCAUGUUCGUCCAUGGUGGGCAGUGUCAAAGAGGAAUGU
rnacentral:misc_RNA from 1 species